UACGUAGGGUCCGAGCGUUGUCCGGAAUUACUGGGCGUAAAGAGCUCGUAGGUGGUUUGUCGCGUUGUUCGUGAAAACUCACAGCUCAACUGUGGGCGUGCGGGCGAUACGGGCAGACUUGAGUACUGCAGGGGAGACUGGAAUUCCUGGUGCAGCGGUGGAAUGCGCAGAUAUCAGGAGGAACACCGGUGGCGAAGGCGGGUCUCUGGGCAGUAACUGACGCUGAGGAGCGAAAGCGUGGGGAGCGAACAGG
rnacentral:rRNA from 1 species